UAAAAGCUGCCAGACUUUUAGAAGAAUUUUAUCCUAUAAAAGAAAUUAAUCCAGUUAUUUCCAACAAAGUAACAAUUGUCCUCGAUGAUUCAAUAUUCGAUUUCAUCGGAAAUAAACAUUUCACAAAGAUUGGCGCGAAUAACAACGAAGAAAGAAGGAAACAUUGUAUAAGCUGCCGUAUUUCCUCUUUAAAUUUACCUGCCAGGCGGACUUAAAACGAAAUCAUCAAUAUUUAUUACACUAGAUUCUAGAAACGUAUUCUAGAACUUGAAUGUCUAAAAAUAUUAUUGCUUUUAAAUCAGAUAGAACGAUGUUGAAUAUCUUUCUUAUUUAAUUGUAUAAUCCUUCUGAAUAUUAAAUUUCCGUGUUUCUA